GACGAACGCUGGCGGCGUGCUUAACACAUGCAAGUCGAACGGAAAGGCCCUGCUUUUGUGGGGUGCUCGAGUGGCGAACGGGUGAGUAACAAGUGAGUAACCUGCCCUUGACUUUGGGAUAACUUCAGGAAACUGGGGCUAAUACCGGAUAGGAGCUCCUGCUGCAUGGUGGGGGUUGGAAAGUUUCGGCGGUUGGGGAUGGACUCGCGGCUUAUCAGCUUGUUGGUGGGGUAGUGGCUUACCAAGGCUUUGACGGGUAGCCGGCCUGAGAGGGUGACCGGCCACAUUGGGACUGAGAUACGGCCCAGACUCCUACGGGAGGCAGCAGUGGGGAAUAUUGCACAAUGGGCGGAAGCCUGAUGCAGCAACGCCGCGUGCUGGAUGACGGCCUUCGGGUUGUAAACCGCUUUCGCCUGUGACGAAGCGUGAGUGACGGUAAUGGGUAAAGAAGCACCGGCUAACUACGUG
rnacentral:rRNA from 1 species